rnacentral:pre_miRNA from 1 species
GUGUAGCCGAAGUCCAUAUGAGUCUUUGUCUUUGUAUCUUCUAACAAGGAUACAAUAUAUAGGCUUUUAAGAUCCGGUUGCGG